UUAUUUCAACACCAUUCAGUUUGUAUAUGCUCGGCAUUGGUUUAUUUUUUCUGCUGGGCUUUCAAAUGAGCAUUAUGAGGUCUGUUUUUUAAUUUCAAUACCUGCUGGUGGCAAUACUUGUUGUGUUUGCUCGGCAAUGAUUCAUUCAAAUGAGGUUCAUUUCUUCUGUUGUGUUUACAAAUGAGAUUUUUUUUUUUUUGUAUAAAUUGGUGGCAAUACCUGCAAUACCUUAUUAUGACGACUCAAAAAAUGUGCUUUUGCUUUCUCUAAUAAUGUCGUUUGAGCACAUUUCUUGUAUUAAUUUAUGUCUGAUAUCUCUCGGAAGUGAGGGUUUCUAUAGGGUGGCACAUUCAAUGUUGUGCCCCUGGAAUUAUGGGGAUUUUAUGAACACUGGUUUUGUUUGGCAGUAAUUAUGGUGGUAUGGAAAAAGCCUGUUGAUAUUUUUGUAAGAUAGAAGAAAUGAUUCGAGUUUUUACUUUGAACUUAUCUAAUUAUAUAUCACAAUAUAUUUGCAAUGUGGUUGCUUCAGGUUUGCUUUGCAAUGCUGGAAUAUGAAAGACACGCAACUGUUUUCUUAUUGAUGAUGGUUGGCAAUAGAUAUAAUGAAAGUAAUUUCGGUGAUAAUUAUGGUUCUCCAUAUAACGGAUUGUUCUAUCGAAAAUGAGCUCAAGCACUUCAACAAGCGCCAGGGGGAGCGAACACCGACCGAUUUUCUGUGAUUGCAAUCUAUUAUGUGUCAUUUUCACCGCUCAAAAAGGAGACAAUGUAGGAUGAAAAUUUUAUAGGUGUCCAAAGAAUUUAAUAAAUAGAGAUUGCAAAUUCUUCCAGUGGGUUAAUGAACCUAGAGAUGCACCACAGGAGCAAGCUGACGAGAGAAUAUAUGCAGUUGAUGACACGUUAAAAAAUGAUGUUAGUGACUUGAAGUUUCUUGUGAAGAAUUUAGUUUUGUUCAAUUUUGUGAUUGUAGCAAUGCUUUUGUCGUUGUUUAGCGGUGUAUCUAUUUUGAUUAUGUACUUGUAUUCUUGAUAACAAACUCCACUGUAUCAAGCUUCUAUCUUGUAAGAAAACUUUU